rnacentral:rRNA from 1 species
UACGGGGGGGGCAAGCGUUGUUCGGAAUUACUGGGCGUAAAGGGCUUGUAGGUGGCCAACUAAGUCAGACGUGAAAUCCCUCGGCUUAACCGGGGAACUGCGUCUGAUACUGGAUGGCUUGAGUGUGGGAGAGGGAUGCGGAAUUCCAGGUGUAGCGGUGAAAUGCGUAGAUAUCUGGAGGAACACCGGUGGCGAAGGCGGCAUCCUGGACCAACACUGACGCUGAGUGAGCGAAAGCCAGGGGAGCAAACGGG